UCCCCUGCUAUGUUAAUAGCUUGCUAGACCAUGCAAGAGCCUCCUGUAUGUGAUUAAAGUUCAAUUUAGAGAUUGAGAUACAAUUAUUUAAGGUAAAUUACAUCUGUUUGAAAGUGAAACCAGUUUUUUUUCAUGCAGGCUCUGUCAAUCAUAGCCAGGGGAGGUGUGGCUAGGGCUGCAUAAACAGAAACAAAGUGAUUUAACUC